ACAUAUAUGGUGCAGUGGUUCUUGCGUUGGACUAGGACUCUGGAGACCAGGGUUCGAAUCCCGGCUUGGCUA